rnacentral:lncRNA from 1 species
UACCUUUUGCACUGUCACUACAAUGUAUGAUAUAAAAAGAAUAAUUUCUUCCUUAGACUUGGAGACUUGUUUCUAACAUCACCAGAUGUGUAUGUCCCAGAGAUAAAGAACUGUCCAGUGAGCUCCAGAGCGCGGUACUUACCUCCCAUGCCUCUUCUGCAUCCAGGGAUGUUAUCCAUGGUAAAAAUAACAUUCCUUACAGAGGCCUUCUCUCCAAGCAUUACUAUAGCUUUUUCCCUCUACUCCACUGAACUGUCUGCAGUAUGGGACAUCACCCUACAAGUAGAGGACAACGUGCAAAGGCAGAUACACUUCUUUCUCUGAUAUACCAUUGUGCAUGGACUAAGCAGCAAAACUUCUCCCAGGUUGUAGUUAAAGAUCAUCCAUUUCUUGGACAACUAUUACUUCUUCAAGAACAAGGACAAGAGUGUGAGAUGGGUUAUGAUGCGACAAGACCUUCCUCAAGUUGUGUCCAUAACUGCUGAGUAUUAGACUUCAAUGUUGCAGCUAUGAGCUGUUUCAGAAGCUACAUACGGCUGGCUUUUAAGACUGCUGGAAAGGUAGCCAAGACUGUCACAGCAGAAUGGUGGAAUAAGCAGAGAACUGGGA